rnacentral:rRNA from 2 species
CAAUACUGGUUGAUCCUGCCAGAGGCUACUGCCAUCAGAGUUCGAUUAAGCCAUGUUAGUCGUGGGUGCCUCCUUUUUUCUCCUUCGGGAGAAGAAUGCGAGGUAACCCGGCGGACGGCUCAGUAACACGUGGACAACUUGCCCUUGGGUCUGGGACAACCCCUGGGAAACUGGGGCUAAUACCGGAUAGGGCAUCGGCAGCUGGAAUGCGCGAUGCUCGAAAGCCGCGUCGAGAGGCGGGGCGCCCAAGGAUAGGUCUGCGGCCGAUUAGGUCGUUGUUAAUGUAACGGAUUAACAAGCCGACGAUCGGUACGGGUUGUGAGAGCAAUAGCCCGGAGAUGGGUUCUGAGAGAAGAACCCAGGUCCUACGGGACGCAUCAGGCGCGAAAACUUUACAAUGCGCGGAAGCGCGAUAAGGGAACUCUGAGUGCCUCCAACGGAGGCUGUUCAGGUGUCUAAAGAGCACCUGAAGGAAGGGCUGGGUAAGACCGGUGCCAGCCGCCGCGGUAACACCGGCAGCUCAAGUGGUAGCCACGUUUAUUGGGUCUAAAGCGUCCGUAGCCGGCUGGGUAAGUUCCUUGGGAAAUUUGACCGCUUAACGGUCAGGCGUUCAGGGAAUACUGCUCGGCUUGGGACCGGGAGAGGUCAGAGGUACUCCAGGGGUAGGGGUGAAAUCUUUUAAUCCUUGGGGGACCACCGGCAGCGAAGGCGUCUGACCAGACCGGGUCCGACGGUGAGGGACGAAGGCCAGGGUCGCGAACCGGAUUAGAUAUGAGUGAGGGAGAAAACAAAACAAAUGGAUGAUGCCAAUGUGAAAUUGGAACGCAGAGUAGAAUCGUUCUUGAAGACUUACACCAAGAUCGUUAAGGUUGUCAGUAAGUCUUUGACAGUAAGUCUAAGAGUGACAGUAAGUGAAGAUUAUUCAUCCGGACAAAGUCAUCAAACUCAAAUGUUUUCUCCCUUCUCACUAAAAACCCGGGUAGUCCUGGCUGUAAACGAUGCGGGCUGGGUGUUGGCAUUGCUGCGAGCGAUGUCAGCGCCGAAGGGAAGCCGUUAAGCCCGCCAUCUGGGGAGUACGGUCGCAAGGCUGAAACCAGCACUCGCUCAACCCAAAAUCCUAAUUCCCUACUUUUCUUUUUUCUUUUUUUUCUUUCAACAUUUUUUUGAAAAACAGGGAGAGAGGCGAGAGCGAGCGGUGGCAGCAAACUUAAAGGAAUUGGCGGGGGAGCACCACAACGGGUGGAGCCUGCGGUUCAAUUGGAUUCAACGCCGGAAAACUCACCGGAGGGGACAGCGAGAUGAAGGUCAGGCUGAAGACCUUACUGGAUUAGCUGAGAGGUGGCGCAUGGCCGUCGGCAGUUCGUGUUGUGAAGCAUCCUGUUAAGUCAGGCAACGGGCGAGACCCGCACUCGCAGUUGCCAGCAUUUCCGCAAGGAAGAUGGGCACUCUGCGAGGACUGCCGCCGCUAAGGUGGAGGAAGAAGCGGGCCACGGUAGGUCAGUACGCCCCGAAUCUUCCGGGCUACACGCGUGCUACAAUGGGCAGUACAAUGGGUAACGACCCCGAAAGGGGAAGGUAAUCCCCUAAAGCUGCUCCUGGUUGGGAUCGAGGGCUGCAACUCGCCCUCGUGAACGAGGAAUCCGUAGUAAUCGCCCCUCAAAAUGGGGCGGUGAAUAUGUCCCUGCUCCUUGCACACACCGCCCGUCAAGCCAGCCGAGUGGGGUUUAGGUGAGGCCGCGUUUCUUGACGCGUUCGAACCUAAGUCUCGCAAGGGGGGCUAAGUCGUAAGAAAGUUGC